GACGAACGCUGGCGGCGUGCUUAACACAUGCAAGUCGAACGGAAAGGCCCUGCUUUUGUGGGGUGCUCGAGUGGCGAACGGGUGAGUAACACGUGAGUAACCUGCCCUUGACUUUGGGAUAACUUCAGGAAACUGGGGCUAAUACCGGAUAGGAGCUCCUGCUGCAUGGUGGGGGUUGGAAAGUUUCGGCGGUUGGGGAUGGACUCGCGGCUUAUCAGCCUGUUGGUGGGGUAGUGGCUUACCAAGGCUUUGACGGGUAGCCGGCCUGAGAGGGUGACCGGCCACAUUGGGACUGAGAUACGGCCCAGACUCCUACGGGAGGCAGCAGUGGGGAAUAUUGCACAAUGGGCGGAAGCCUGAUGCAGCAACGCCGCGUGCGGGAUGACGGCCUUCGGGUUGUAAACCGCUUUCGCCUGUGACGAAGAGUGAGUGACGGUAAUGGGUAAAGAAGCACCGGCUAACUACGUG
rnacentral:rRNA from 1 species